AUUGAACGCUGGCGGCAUGCUUUACACAUGCAAGUCGAACGGUAACAGGCCUUCGGGUGCUGACGAGUGGCGAAACGGGUGAGUAAUGCAUCGGAACGUACCCAGAGGUGGGGGAUAACGCAGCGAAAGCUGUGCUAAUACCGCAUGUGAUCUGAGGAUGAAAGCGGGGGACCGAGCAGCAAUGUUUGGCCUCGCGCCUUUGGAGCGGCCGAUGUCGGAUUAGCUAGUUGGUGGGGUAAAGGCCUACCAAGGCGACGAUCCGUAGCUGGUCUGAGAGGACGACCAGCCACACUGGGACUGAGACACGGCCCAGACUCCUACGGGAGGCAGCAGUGGGGAAUUUUGGACAAUGGGCGCAAGCCUGAUCCAGCAAUGCCGCGUGCGGGAAGAAGGCCUUCGGGUUGUAAACCGCUUUUGGCAGGAACGAAACGGUGUCCGCUAAUACCGGGCGCUAAUGACGGUACCUGCAGAAUAAGCACCGGCUAACUACGUG
rnacentral:rRNA from 1 species